UGGGAAACUGCCUGAUGGAGAGGGAUAACUACUGGAAACGGUGGCUAAUACCGCAUAACGUCGCAAGACCAAAGAGGGGGACCUUCGGGCCUCUUGCCAUCAGAUGUGCCCAGAUGGGAUUAGCUUGUUGGUGAGGUAACGGCUCACCAAGGCGACGAUCCCUAGCUGGUCUGAGAGGAUGACCAGCCACACUGGAACUGAGACACGGUCCAGACUCCUACGGGAGGCAGCAGUGGGGAAUAUUGCACAAUGGGCGCAAGCCUGAUGCAGCCAUGCCGCGUGUAUGAAGAAGGCCUUCGGGUUGUAAAGUACUUUCAGCGGGGAGGAAGGUGUUGUGGUUAAUAACCGCAGCAAUUGACGUUACCCGCAGAAGAAGCACCGGCUAACUCCGUGCCAGCAGCCGCGGUAAUACGGAGGGUGCAAGCGUUAAUCGGAAUUACUGGGCGUAAAGCGCACGCAGGCGGUCUGUCAAGUCGGAUGUGAAAUCCCCGGGCUCAACCUGGGAACUGCAUUCGAAACUGGCAGGCUUGAGUCUUGUAGAGGGGGGUAGAAUUCCAGGUGUAGCGGUGAAAUGCGUAGAGAUCUGGAGGAAUACCGGUGGCGAAGGCGGCCCCCUGGACAAAGACUGACGCUCAGGUGCGAAAGCGUGGGGAGCAAACAGGAUUAGAUACCCUGGUAGUCCACGCCGUAAACGAUGUCUACUUGGAGGUUGUGCCCUUGAGGCGUGGCUUCCGGAGCUAACGCGUUAAGUAGACCGCCUGGGGAGUACGGCCGCAAGGUUAAAACUCAAAUGAAUUGACGGGGGCCCGCACAAGCGGUGGAGCAUGUGGUUUAAUUCGAUGCAACGCGAAGAACCUUACCUGGUCUUGACAUCCACAGAAGAAUCCAGAGAUGGAUUUGUGCCUUCGGGAACUGUGAGACAGGUGCUGCAUGGCUGUCGUCAGCUCGUGUUGUGAAAUGUUGGGUUAAGUCCCGCAACGAGCGCAAC
rnacentral:rRNA from 1 species